rnacentral:lncRNA from 1 species
UACGGACACUAGCUAAAAAACUCGGCGAGUCAGCUAGAAAGGCAGUGGAUGAGUUCUGCGACUGGAAGUUACAAGAUAAAGCACCAGGCAAAACAUUGGAAAAGCUUUGUACAGCAAGCAGGACAUAUCUCCCCACCUCAUCAGAGUGUGAGAGGGGGUUUUCUGCCGUCAAUGACACUGACAGCAAGACCCGCAAUAGACUGCGUAAAAACAGCCUCUCAUCGCUCCUUUUUGUGGAUCUUAAUGGACCCCCUUUGGAGAGAUUCGACCCAGCACCCUUCAUCACAUCCUGGAUUAAAUCAGGUCAUUGCCUGUCCACAUCAUGGGCUUCUGGACCAACAGCAAAGGAAGCUGAUCCCAGGCCUGUGUGGUCGCUUCUGUUUCAAGGUGGCACCCAGGGGUGAAGAGAUGGGCCCACUCGCUACCAAAACACAGGAUCCUCUCCCACCCAGUGACUCCCCAGAACAAGUUGAAGUUGAGGCCGAGUGCUCCGAAGACGCAGCAGGUGCUGAGGUAACGUUAGCUGCUACUGCUGCUACUGCUGCUAGCACAAGUGACUUGCCGGCUGGUUGGACAACGAAGCAGAAUGGAAAGAUCACAACCCUUGGCUUGACAUUAAGGCAGGAAAAUUGGGGUGUUUAGUGUGUAGAAAAGCAAAAACGUUGCUACUCUCAGAAAAAGGACCGGGUUUACACCUUGCAGAAGAAUGGCUCAACGGUGAUGUUAUUAGCUCUGAAGCAAAGAGAAGAAGAUUUACAAACACAGGGACAGUCAGGCCCACACAAGGUCAGUGGAAAUAACCCAGAUGAAAGAGAAAGACACUCUCCCGAACACUUUCAUUGAUAUACAGUCCGAUUUACUCAAGAAAGCCAAAGUCUUGUUCAGAACAGCUUACACCGUGGCAAAGGAAAGGCUAUAAUACAAAAAGUUCAACCCACUCAUGACAAUGCAGGAGGAUGCAAUGGAGCCGAAGUUGGUAAUAUCCACAAAUCUGACCAUGCAUGCGCAGAAAUAAUCAGUCACAUUGCCAAGGAAAUGCGCUGCAAAUUCGUCUGCAAUGUGAAAGAAAUGGAUUCACGGGUGUCAAUCACAAUUGAACUUACAGAUGGGGUCGAUGCUAAAUCCAUUUAUAACUCGAUGGCGAAUCUACAUAAAGCUGGAAUGGAUGAUGACUUUUUGAAGAUGCACCUGAUAAGCAUUGCCACCGAUGGAGCUGCGGUGCUCACAGGAAAAGCCUGUAGGCUUGUCGUUAGACUCAAAGAAAAGUUUCCGAACGUGCAGUCUGUUCACUGCCUGGCGCAUAGAUUUGAACUGGCUGUCAAAGAUGCUCUUAAAGAAGUGGCUGGCACUAAUCAGUUUGAGUUCUUUAUUUCAAAGUUGUACUCACUCUACAAUCAGUCAACCAGGAACGCCAGAUUGCUUAGAGAAGCUCGACAUGGAAAUACUGAAAAUAGGUCAAAUCUUCACCAUCAGAUGGGUUGCCAGCAGCUUUAAAACAGUAAAAGCAGUAUGGAAAGAUUUCCCCGCACUAGCACUCCAUUUCAAAACAGCCAGUGAGGACAUAUCGCGCAAUGAUCUUGAGAGGCAAAAAUACAAGGGACUUCUAAAGCACCUUGCUAACUCAGGAUUUGUGGAAGAUUUGGCUGUCAUGAAAGACAUCCUGUGUGAACUCCAGAGCCUGUCUCUCAAGCUGCAGAAAAGAGAAAUGUCACGCCAUCAAACAAA